rnacentral:tRNA from 1 species
GCACUUGUAGCUUAGUGGAUAGAGCGCUUGUUUCCUAACCUGAAGGUCGUAGGUUCUCGACCCCUACUUGGCGCA